ensembl:snRNA U6 U6 spliceosomal RNA
GUGCUCGCUUCAGCAGCACAUAUACUAAAAUUGGAACAAUACAGAAAAGAUUAGCAUGGCCCCUGUGCAAGGAUGACAUGCAAAUUCAUGAAGCAUUUCAUAUGAAA